UCUACAAUAUCUCGUUACCGGUAUCGAGCGCAUUUCAGAGAUGACGAGUGCAACGAGUGACUUUGUCAUUUCGUUACUACAUCUCAUCCGUCAAGUAUUUUCCUCUUCGUGGUACUUCCAGCAUAGUAGCCGCUCGAUAAGUAGCCGUACUCGAGGCACUACAGAUGGUCCUUGUUCAGAAACGAAGAAUUAUCGAGCGUGAUACGAAUAUACCGACUUAGGACCACAAAGGGUCAACAUAUCCCAUAGUAGGAUGUUCCGAGUCAAUGGCCUGAAAGAUAUGUUCGUGAAUUUUUUAAUGUUCAAUUUAAAACCUAAAAUUAAAAAAUUUCUACAAAUACAUAUUCGGUAGAAUUAUGUAACGCUGAAAUAAUGCACAGCUAUCUUGCAUUACACGAGGUAUGGGUCUUCAAAUAAUGGUAAUUCAGUUAUGAUUCUUUGUAGAAAUGAAAAGUAUAACGCUUGAAAUGCUUCUCAGUGAGUCACGGGAGCUCCUAGAAAGUUUAUGGUAUAAAAUUAGAUUACUCGUUCCUUACAUAAACCCAUACUUAUUAGAUAUUAAUAAUAUAGUAAAAUCAAAUAUUUACCUACCUCAACUGUUAGCACGCCAGUGAAGCACAUCGAUGAGUAUGUAUACAUAUACACGGUAGUUGUGCAAUCGAACGAGUACUUUUAACCGAUGACGAUUUUAAAACGGUUAGGUAACCAAAAGUGCAUCGAAGUUGGCAUUCGUGAGACGAAUAAGCCAACGAGAUCAGUUAUCCGUCGGUUGUACUGAUGAUAACUUUUCGACGAAUUAUCGUGCACUAGUCACGAAAAAGCAUGGGUAAAGUGUACUCGAUUUUCGAAACAAUAGACGGUUGGAUACGGGAGGUGAAAGGUCUCCGUCGAAUAUCUAGAAACCGAGUUUCCGAAACGAAAAUCACGAUCGAUACGAACGACAGUAUCUUCCAUCACGAAACGUGGAAGCAAGCUUUCCUGACCGAUUCACCGGUACUUCGUGAUCUACUGUUCGGUGUGCCCACCGAGAGCAACGUGAUCGAUGUCAUUUGCACGAUCAAUCGUUUCAUCUUCUUUUACUUGAUUAUUAAAUGGAUCAAUUUCGAAGUACGCACGAUUUUUGACACCGAUCAUUUUCCUUUUAAUUGAUCUCGAAACGCGAAAAAUGACUCGUAAUUGAUACGUGUACCUAAAAUUCAGUUAAUGUGGUUAUAUAUUGAAGGAGGUAAACAGGGCAAUGUAAAUAAAGGUGUCUACUUUUGUACACUAUAGUAGCCGCUUGAUAAUUUCCCUCUUUCGAGGCUCCAGAGGUAGGUCUGUCUAAAAGACCGACAAUUAUCGAGCGUCUACUUACAAUUAGCAGAGCGGUAGGCACUGCCCCUGGAUAUAUACCACUCGGCAUACUGUGGCGUCAAGCGGGUCAUCCCGUGCAGGGGCCUGUACCGCUUCGACACUUUUCGUCCAUAACUCAUUCGCUUUCACGGCACCUUUUCAUCGGGUUUGAAGGUCCCGAUUAAUUUCAAUGUAUCACGAAAAAUACAAUGAUAAAAUAUGUUCCAUCUGUCCUUUCUGUUAUUCGUCAAGCAAUUCUACGAGUUUCAAUUGGCAAUGUAACCAAAAACGAAGGUUAUCCUUGAGCAAUAAACGAAUGGAUAGACGAAAUAAUAACUGAAAAGGGAUAGAGGGUGAGAAGAUGACAAAAGAGAACGGGAAGUACUGCGAAGUACAAAAAUAAGUAACGUGGAGGCCGGGUUAGGUAAACAGGGGGGAUAAAAGGAUAGGUCGGAAAAGAAGGAAACGCUCGAGGAUGUAAAGAACAGCGGAGACAGAAAGAGAGAGUACGUAAAGGCAAGGAGGAGAAUGGAGAAACUCAUGGCUGCUGCUGAUCGAUAGAAUGGAGAGCUGCGCGGUAUACACUUGCUUUUCCAAUAGAACAUUGUAGAGAUAUAACGUAUGUAGAUAAACACACUUUUGGGAAAUAAUUACAUGUAUGCGCAUCCUGCAGAGAUCAUUGUUCAAUGUAAAUCCUAUUUUACUGUAGCUUCUAUUUUGGAUCAUUAUCUGCGAUGAAUAUAUAAAAGACUCCACCGAAUUAUUCAUA